rnacentral:rRNA from 1 species
UACGUAGGGUGCAAGCGUUGUCCGGAAUUAUUGGGCGUAAAGAGCUCGUAGGCGGUCUGUCGCGUCGGCUGUGAAAACCCGGAGCUCAACUCCGGGCCUGCAGUCGAUACGGGCAGACUGGAGUUCGGCAGGGGAGACUGGAAUUCCUGGUGUAGCGGUGAAAUGCACAGAUAUCAGGAGGAACACCGGUGGCGAAGGCGGGUCUCUGGACAUUUCCUGACGCUGAGGCACGAAAGCCAGGGGAGCAAACGGG